GUGCCAGCAGCCGCGGUAAUACGUAGGUGGCAAGCGUUAUCCGGAAUUAUUGGGCGUAAAGCGCGCGCAGGUGGUUUCUUAAGUCUGAUGUGAAAGCCCACGGCUCAACCGUGGAGGGUCAUUGGAAACUGGGAGACUUGAGUGCAGGAGAGGAAAGUGGAAUUCCAUGUGUAGCGGUGAAAUGCGUAGAGAUAUGGAGGAACACCAGUGGCGAAGGCGACUUUCUGGUCUGUAACUGACACUGAGGCGCGAAAGCGUGGGGAGCAAACAGGAUUAGAAACCCCAGUAGUCC
rnacentral:rRNA from 1 species